rnacentral:tRNA from 1 species
GGGGAAGUGCUGGAACUGGCAGACAGGCAUGACUUAGAAUCAUGUGUCGCAAGGCGUGUGGGUUCGACUCCCAUCUUCCCCA